AUCCAUUCUGGCCUUUGGCUUAGAUCAAGUGUAGUACCUGUUCUUACCAGUGUAAUUGCUGGUAUUGGUUCAUCGGACCAACCAAUCAUUACUCUCAUCUUUGACCUGCCCCCCGUCAUACCCUGCCUCGCCAGCGUGGCAGGGACGAUGGCCUUGGGCUCCCACUGCUCCCUUGUGCUGUCAGGCAUU
rnacentral:snRNA from 1 species